rnacentral:rRNA from 1 species
GAUGAACGCUGGCGGCGUGCCUAAUACAUGCAAGUCGAGCGAACGGACGAGAAGCUUGCUUCUCUGAUGUUAGCGGCGGACGGGUGAGUAACACGUGGAUCACCUACCUAUCAGACUGGGAUAACUUCGGGAAACCGGAGCUAAUACCGGAUAAUAUUUUGAACCGCAUGGUUCAAAAGUGAAUGACGGUCUUGCUGUCACUUAUAGAUGGAUCCGCGCUGCAUUAGCUAGUUGGUAAGUUAACGGCUUACCAAGGCAACGAUGCAUAGCCGACCUGAGAGGGUGAUCGGCCACACUGGAACUGUGACACGGUCCAGACUCCUACGGGAGGCAGCAGUAGGGAAUCUUCCGCAAUGGGCGAAAGCCUGACGGAGCAACGCCGCGUGAGUGAUGAAGGUCUUCGGAUCGUAAAACUCUGUUAUUAGGGAAGAACAUAUGUGUAAGUAACUGUGCACAUCUUGACGGUACCUAAUCAGAAAGCAACGGCUAACUACGUG